rnacentral:rRNA from 1 species
UAAUUAAGCGGAGGAAAAGAAACUAACCAGGAUUCCCUCAGUAAGGGCGACUGAAGCGGGAAGAGCUCCACUUGUGAAUCUGCGCUUGCGCCGAAUUGUGGUGUGUUCACGUUAUUGUCCGGGCCAAGUCCCUUGGAAAAGGGCAGCAGAGAGGGUGAGACUCCCGUUCGCCUGGACUUUUGAGUGAACAUGAUCGAGUCGAGUUGUUUGGGAUUGCAGCUCAAAGCGGGUGGUAAAUUCCAUCGAAAGCUAAAUAUUGGUGGGAGACCGAUAGCGUACAAGUACCGUGAGGGAAAGAUGCAAAGAACUUUGAAAAGAGAGUUAAAGAGUACCUGAAAUUGCUGAAAGGGAAGCGAAGGAAACCAGUGUCGUCCCCGUCAUACUUCUCUGCUCGCUUGCGGGCAGGGCGCUGUGGCUGGAUCGGUCAGACUUGGUUGUGAGUGUCGGAAAGGCGCCAGAGGAGUUGACUCUGGUUGCUGGCGACAAUUGCGACUGAGGC